GGGGAACUGAAACAUCUAAGUACCCCGAGGAAAAGAAAUCAACCGAGAUUCCCCCAGUAGCGGCGAGCGAACGGGGAGCAGCCCAGAGCCUGAAUCAGUGUGUGUGUUAGUGGAAGCGUCUGGAAAGGCGCGCGAUACAGGGUGACAGCCCCGUACACAAAAAUGCACAUGCUGUGAGCUCGAUGAGUAGGGCGGGACACGUGGUAUCCUGUCUGAAUAUGGGGGGACCAUCCUCCAAGGCUAAAUACUCCUGACUGACCGAUAGUGAACCAGUACCGUGAGGGAAAGGCGAAAAGAACCCCGGCGAGGGGAGUGAAAAAGAACCUGAAACCGUGUACGUACAAGCAGUGGGAGCACGCUUAGGCGUGUGACUGCGUACCUUUUGUAUAAUGGGUCAGCGACUUAUAUUCUGUAGCAAGGUUAACCGAAUAGGGGAGCCGAAGGGAAACCGAGUCUUAACUGGGCGUUAAGUUGCAGGGUAUAGACCCGAAACCCGGUGAUCUAGCCAUGGGCAGGUUGAAGGUUGGGUAACACUAACUGGAGGACCGAACCGACUAAUGUUGAAAAAUUAGCGGAUGACUUGUGGCUGGGGGUGAAAGGCCAAUCAAACCGGGAGAUAGCUGGUUCUCCCCGAAAGCUAUUUAGGUAGCGCCUCGUGAAUUCAUCUCCGGGGGUAGAGCACUGUUUCGGCAAGGGGGUCAUCCCGA
rnacentral:rRNA from 1 species